AGAUGAAGAACGUAGUGAAAUGCGAUAAGUAAUGUGAAUUGCAGAAUCCAGUGAAUCAUCGAAUCUUUGAACGCACCUUGCGCCCCUUGGUAUUCCGAGGGGCACGCCUGUUGGAGUGUCAUGAAUACCUCAACCCUUAUAGGUUUUAUCACUUGUACGGUGUUGGUUGUGAGCGUUGCCGGUCGCAAGAUCGGCUCGCUUUAAAAUCAUUAGCUGGAUCCACUUUGACCUGGUUCUACUCGGCGUAAUAAGUUAUUAUCGUUGAGGACACUUUUCUUAGGAAGGGUGGCCACAGUAAAGGUUGUGAACCGCUUCUAAUACGUCUGCUUAGUCUUCGGGCUUUGCAACAUUUUUAUCUCUGACCUCCAAUCAGGUGGGACUACCCGCUGAACUUAAGCAUAUCAAUAAGCGGAGGA
rnacentral:misc_RNA from 1 species